UACGGAGGGUGCAAGCGUUAUCCGGAUUCACUGGGUUUAAAGGGUGCGUAGGUGGGUUGAUAAGUCAGUGGUGAAAUCUCCGAGCUUAACUUGGAAACUGCCAUUGAUACUAUCAGUCUUGAAUAUUGUGGAGGUCAGCGGAAUAUGUCAUGUAGCGGUGAAAUGCUUAGAUAUGACAUAGAACACCAAUUGCGAAGGCGCUGGCUACGCAUAUAUGACACUGAGGCACGAAGCGUGGGAUCAACAGG
rnacentral:rRNA from 1 species